rnacentral:rRNA from 1 species
UACGGGGGGGGCAAGCGUUGUUCGGAAUUACUGGGCGUAAAGGGCUCGUAGGCGGCCAACUAAGUCGGAUGUGAAAUCCCCAGGCUUAACCUGGGAAUUGCAUCCGAUACUGGAUGGCUUGAAUCCGGGAGAGGAAUGCGGAAUUCCAGGUGUAGCGGUGAAAUGCGUAGAUAUCUGGAGGAACACCGGUGGCGAAGGCGGCAUUCUGGACCGAUAUUGACGCUGAGGAGCGAAAGCCAGGGGAGCAAACGGG